UUCGGGGUACUCGAGUGGCGAACGGGUGAGUAACACGUGGGUGAUCUGCCCUGCACUUUGGGAUAAGCCUGGGAAACUGGGUCUAAUACCGAAUACACCUCAUUGACUGCAUGGUUGGUGGGGGAAAGCUUUUGCGGUGUGGGAUGGGCCCGCGGCCUAUCAGCUUGUUGGUGAGGUUACGGCUCACCAAGGCGACGACGGGUAGCCGGCCUGAGAGGGUGACCGGCCACACUGGGACUGAGAUACGGCCCAGACUCCUACGGGAGGCAGCAGUGGGGAAUAUUGCACAAUGGGCGCAAGCCUGAUGCAGCGACGCCGCGUGGGGGAUGACGGCCUUCGGGUUGUAAACUCCUUUCAGCACAGACGAAGCGCAAGUGACGGUAUGUGCAGAAGAAGGACCGGCCAACUACGUGCCAGCAGCCGCGGUAAUACGUAGGGUCCGAGCGUUGUCCGGAAUUACUGGGCGUAAAGAGCUCGUAGGUGGUUUGUCGCGUUGUUCGUGAAAACUCACAGCUUAACUGUGGGCGUGCGGGCGAUACGGGCAGACUUGAGUACUGCAGGGGAGACUGGAAUUCCUGGUGUAGCGGUGGAAUGCGCAGAUAUCA
rnacentral:rRNA from 1 species